UACGUAGGGUGCGUGCGUUGUCCGGAAUUAUUGGGCGUAAAGAGCUCGUAGGCGGUGUGUCGCGUCGGCCGUGAAAACCUGGGGCUCAACUCUGGGCGUGCGGUCGAUACGGGCAUCACUGGAGUUCGGCAGGGGAGACUGGAAUUCCUGGUGUAGCGGUGAAAUGCGCAGAUAUCAGGAGGAACACCGGUGGCGAAGGCGGGUCUCUGGGCCGAUACUGACGCUGAGGAGCGAAAGCGUGGGGAGCGAACAGG
rnacentral:rRNA from 1 species